GAGUGUAGUAUGAGAUCUCACCACCAGAGUGCAGCAUGGAGCAUGAAAAACUGCAGCAGGCUGCAACUUUUACUGCAGCCACACGAUGGCAGCAGUGAGCACUUGCACCUGUUGUACACCUGUUCAGACAGGUUAAGAAGUGGUUUUCUUUUCAUCGACUUGUUGCAUAAUUUAAAACAUAUGUAGAUGACAAUACAAGACUUUGACCUUUUGUGUUUACGCCGCAGGGUGACCCUGGGCCUCCUGGUCUUCCUGGUGAUCCAGGCUACCCAGGACCUCCCGUAAGUAUCUACUUCCACCUAAACCACCUGUGCCCCACAUCACACAUUAAGGCUGUGUAAGGUGACAAAACAUUUAGAGUUUGUAGCCUUUUGUAUUAAACUUCAUCAGUGUUAUUAUUGAUGAUGCACGAAUCUGGUGACCUUAAGUGGCCAUGGUGGUUAAAAUAAUGUUGAUGUUGUUCCAGGGUCCCUCUGGUGGACAGAAAGGAGAAAAAGGAGAACUAGGGGAAGCAGGCAAGAGAGGCAAACCUGGAAAAGAUGGCGAUCCUGGUCCUCCAGGGUUCCCUGUGAGUACUGUGAACAAACAAUUGACAAAUUAUGUUGUCAAACAUCUCUUAUUUAAGUUUUCCUUCUUUUUGUCACUAUCAGGGAAACAAAGGAGACCCAGGUCUGCCAGGGUCUCCAGGCAGAGACGGAGAGAGAGUAGGUUUCCACCUAAUAUGAGGUUAAGUUCCAACUUUAAACCAGUUUAA
ensembl:lncRNA